GACUCGCUAGCUCAGCUGGUAGAGCAACAGACUCUUAAUCCGUGGGUCCGGGGUUCGAUCCCCUGGCGGGUCA
rnacentral:tRNA from 1 species